rnacentral:rRNA from 1 species
GNGUCUGUNUCAUGGCCCUUACGGGUAGGGCUCACACGUGCUACAAUGGUCAGUACAAAGGGUUGCGAACUUGCGAGAGUGAGCCAAUCCCAGAAAGCUGAUCUCAGUCCGGAUCGGAGUCUGCAACUCGACUCCGUGAAGUCGGAAUCGCUAGUAAUCGUGAAUCAGAAUGUCACGGUGAAUACGUUCCCGGGCCUUGUACACACCGCCCGUCACACCAUGGGAGUGGACUGCACCAGAAGUGGUUAGCCUAACCUUCGGGAGGGCGAUCACCACGGUGUGGUUCAUGACUGGGGUGAAGUCGUAACAAGGUAGCCGUAGGGGAACCUGCGGUUGGAUCACACCNNUAA